rnacentral:rRNA from 1 species
AACUUUCAACAACGGAUCUCUUGGUUCUGGCAUCGAUGAAGGCUGGAUAAUGGCUGAACGCCUCUAAGUCAGAAUCC